AAACAGCAUUCGUAUUUUGGUCUCCUGAGAUCCGUGCCGCCUUCCUGUUACAAAGGCUGGAGUUUCUUCCAGGCGCAGCAGCCAGACCAGCAUGUAACCCAAGUUGCUUCAGUGAGUCAGUCCCCGACUGACUUUCCCUUCUAUUUUCACAAAGAUUGCUGAUCUCAUAGGAUGUAAACUGGGAUCGGCUGGAUAGCAACUCUGCUACAUCAGAGCCUGUCUAGAGGGAAGACUACACAUGGAAGAACAGGGUCAAGAGACGAAGAGAUUCCUGAUGACAUAGUUUGAGCACCCAGAUACAGCCAUUCCUGAAGUCCCACGGGCAGCCACACCUUCCACGUAUUCCAUGACCAUGCAGAGGUGGCGCCGGGUCUCAAAGGAGCAGAACAUGCCGACCACAAAGGGGUUCUCGGCGAAGGAAAGAAGCCUACGAAAUAAUCACUUUCAUAUACAAAAAGCUACCAGAAAUCAAUAACAAAAAGCCCACCAAUGGAAGAGAAAAUACAGACAAGAUAUGUGAACUACAAUUAGAGCUCUUAACCAUAUGAAAAGAUGCUGAACCUCACAUAUAGUGGCCGAAGAGCAAAUCAAAACACCCCCAAGAUACAAUUUUUCACCUAGCAGACUGGCCAAAAGGAUCCAAAAAGCUGACACACUCUGGGUGAAGCUGUGUUGGAACAGGUACUUUUAUGCCUUCCUGUCGGGUGUGUAAAAUGGUACAACCUCCAUGCAAGGUACUCUGGCCUAUAAACAGAAGUAUAAGUGCAUGUUCCCUUUGAUCCAGUAAUUUCAUUUUCGAAUUAUUGCUACAGAUAUGCAUGUGAAAAAUUACAUAUGUAUCACCUCGCUCAUUGCAAGAUUGGAAACAACCCAUAGGUUCAUCUUUAGGAAACCGGUUAAAUAAACACAUGAGAGGCAUCUGCGUAAAGGAAUACUGUGCCACUGUUAAACAGAAAGGAAUCGCUCAGUACACUGAUUCAGUAUUUUAUUAAGUGGGGGGAAAAAGCAAGGAACAAUAUGUACUGUAAGUUUUUUGGCAAAAUAGAGCUAUCUAAUCGUAUUUAGGGGGUGCUCAGUAGCACAUAUACUAAUAUUUGGGGGGGAUAUAGGUCAAUGGGGGGACAAGAGUGGGUGUAAGACAUUUCUCUGUACACCUUUUGUGAAAAUUAUGUUUUUCUUUGGGACAAAGAGAUUUAUCCCGUAAGUAUUUCACAAAAAUGUAUGACAUGAAAAUGUUAAAUUUGUAUGCUCCUAAGAACGUAGUCUAAAAACAUCUGACCCAAAACUUGACAGAAUGACAGGAAGAAAUUGCUCAAAACAAGGAUUUAACACAUAUUUCUCAGAAACGAUUAGAUUAACCAGGCAAAAAAAAAAAAAAAAAAGAAGAAGAAGAAGAAAAGAAUAGGGACAUGGAAGAUUUGAAUCACUCAAUUGACAAGUUUGAUUGAAUGAAAUAGGUAGAAUCCUACAAACAACAAUUAAAGAUAAAUACCUUUUUAGAGUUUUAGAGUUUUGAGUGAUGUCAUUCCAUUACCUAUUCAAAAAAUUAAACAAAUGGCAUGCAUAGUGAGAUUCUGUUCAAUAUAUAUAUUAAGGAAAGAUGUGCGUGUGUGAUGUGUGUGAAUUCAUAGACACAACUUGAAACAAAGGUUACGAAUUCAAAUGCCUUAAGGGGCCAGG